CAAGGUCUUGGUCUUAAACCUACUAUUAUCUAAACCUCUAAUCAUACAUGCAAGCCUCACCAUAACAGUGAAACAACCCAUAAAACAUAUCGGAGUAGGUAUCAGGUAUUAACCAAUGACACCAAGAAUAAAACCACACCCCCACGGGCAUGCAGCAGUAGUUAAUAUUAGGCAAUAAGACCCACUUAACUUGACCUAGUAAGAGGAACUCAUGGGCCGGUUAAUCUCGUGCCAGCGACCGCGGUUACACGACAGACCCAAGAUAAUAAAAACGGCGUAAAGCACGACCAGAAUUAAAUAUAAGAUUUUUGAAAGAGCCAAACUAGGCUGUAAAAAGCCAUAAGAUACAGUAAUACAAACCCAAAAACCCAAUAUUAUUUCAACUCAUGAAAAUAGGAUUACAAACUAAGAUUAGAUACCUUACUAUGCCUAACCUAAUAUACAAUUAAAUCACUAAUUGUUCGCCAAAUAACUACGAGUAAUUAAACCUUAAAAUUUAAAAGACUUGACGGUACUUCACAUCAACCUAGAGGAGCCUGUCUAAUAACCGAUACUCCACGAUUAACCCAACCCACCCUAGCCACAACAGUCUAUAUACCGCCAUCGCCAGCCCAUCUUAUAAAAGAAAUAAAAUGAACAAAACAGCUACCACUAAUACGAUAGGUCGAGGUGUAACUAAUGAGUGGGAAUAAGAUGGGCUACAUUUUCUAACACAGAAAACACGAAACAACCAAUGAAAAAAGAACCGAAGGCGGAUUUAGCAGUAUAUUAAGAACAAAAUACUUAACCGAAACUAACGCAAUGAAGUGUGUACACACCGCCCGUCAUCCCUGACAAUAACAACACCAUUACAUAAGCAAAUAAACUAAUAUCUUCAGGGCAAGUCGUAACAUGGUAAGUGUACUGGAAAGUGCACUUAGAA
rnacentral:ncRNA from 1 species